CGCCUGCCACGCAUUCGGUGCUUUCUCCGUCAUCAAACUGUCCUAGUCAUAAUUCGUCGUUUUGCCGCCUCUGAUGCGGCUUUUGCGUCACUGUGCAAGCGGCUUGCUCCAUUUUUUUCGCCAAAUUGGUUUGAAACAUUUCUUCCAUCGGCACGGUGCGGCGUUUGUUUGUGGCGCAUUUGAUUUAUAAAAAAAUGAGUGGUUGUGAGGAAUUGUGUGUGCGACUUUUUUUAAUUUUUGGCGGCUUAAACUCCGCGUGCGCGGAGACCGCCACUGACAUCAAUCGGCUGCAGCUCGGUUAUCAUUCGGUUGUUCGUUCUGCUCGCACGGUCGGCCGGCAAAGCACAUACAUACAUACAUAUGUUACUUUUUGAGAGCGUGACUGUUGUUGUUAUUGGCGCCGGUGCGCUGCUGCGCCGCCACCCACCACAUCAACACCUCAGCAUCUAUGCAGCGGGUAGAUGCGUUGGACUGCUUGGCAGCCAGCCAGGCUCCGUGGCUUAUCCUGCAUCCUGGCGUCGUGCAGUUGUCCAACAGCAGCCGGUGUUGGCAGUAGUACAUCAGCUUGUCGCCGUUGACACAUUGAUAAAUAAAUCUUAAUCUACUUCAACAGUUACCAGCCAACAUUUAGCCAACAAACACCAAGUCAAACCAAGGAUUCACUAGGCAUUCUGUGGUUACGCCGCAACCAGAACACCUUUGAAUUAUACAUACAUAUAUACAUACAAAGCCGAAAUGUCGCUGCAAAAUCUACAUGUCCAUACGAAAUAUGGAGUAAUCCGAGUGACACUUGUGUUGUGUGCCCCGCGUUGUGCUUGACCGAAGUUCGCCUGACCAGAGUCUUAUUUUCCUUUUGCAAAUGAUUUAUGGCCAAGACAAUGAAACAGAACCGGCAAUUGCGAGACUGUCACUGGUUUGAAUCUGGUGUGAACAUUGUCGCUGUUCGUUGCAGAUAGUUUGUGCGUUUCUGUUUUUGGUUUUCGGCUGAUUUUCCGUUUGUUGUGUUGCCGGUUUGUUUGCAUCCGCCUGUCCGUGUCGUAGAGCCAACAUACGCACUCAUACAUUGUGUAUUAUAUGUACAUACAUAUAUGUCAAUGCCGUGUUUAAAACUGUGCCGCUAUUGUCGCCUUAGUGAAAAACUCAAGUGCAUAAAAUGGACUAGUGAAUGGUGAAUUUUUUUAAUUCGAAAUAAUUUAUGAAAAAGCAGACAUUCAAGAGUUUCGGUUGCAAUAUGACUAAUUUGAAAAGCGCUAUUGGGCAAACACUGCAUCUGUACAGGCAUUUUAUUUCGCGUAUAUGUGGCUAUAAGACCGAACGCUUUGAAAAUACCAAACUCUUCGAUGACACUAAAGAACUCCGCAGCUUUGCAGAAAUGAUAUCGAAUUUUUUGUAUGCUUCCCUUGGUCAAGCCUAUUCGUAUUAAGGAAAUAUUUAUGAAGCUAAAAGCUGAAAUCCAAGACAACGGCUAUAUUUUUAAAAUAUGCCUCUUACAACUUACAUUGAAUAUUCCGAUAAUCAAUGGUUUACAAAGGUAUG